CACAUGGUGCAACCCAAAAUCAACCAAAUGGGUGGAAAAACUGUUAAAUCUGGUAACACUAAUGAAGAAUACUGGUGUAAAGUGUAAGGCAUAGGUGUCAAACUCAAUUCCCGGAGGGUCGCAGCCCUGUAGAGUUUAGUUCCAACCCUAAUUAAAUGCACCUUACUCAGCUAAUCGAGUCCUUAAGGUUUAUUUGAAAGUUAAAGGUAUGUUUCCUGGAGCAGGGCUGAGCCCCUUCAGGAACUGAGUUUGACACCUCUGGUGUAAGGUGUUUAAUUAUUAAUAUAUUUUUUUUCUCUCUCAUCAGGUCUUUCAAAUUUGCCUGCUCUUUAUUCCAAACCUCGACCACACAUACAGACAAACACACUCACUCACUCACUCACUCACUCACUCACACACAAUAAAGGCACUUUUAAGAGCCACGUCUGUCCUGUUUACCUGUCUGUGCUGUAGUUUACUUGUCACUCUCUUUUUAGCUCUCUCUAUAUCUUUAUCUCUAUUUUCAUCUUUAUUUGUUUUAUUUGACCAUCCUUCCAGUUCUCUUAAUAGUUCCUAAAAAUCCUCUUUAUCGUAACAGUUUGUCCAUCUGUUGUUUGUUUUUGUGUAUAUUUCUUGUCUAGUCAUGACAAGGCCCAAAUUCAGGCCCUGCCCUUCUUGCCAGACUCCCAAUCAGGCAAGCAGGAAAACUUGUCAUGUCUGCUUUGGAAGCCUGUCCACCAAAAACAAAAUAAAAGAAAAAGUGGCAUCACUGGAUAGCCAGUGGGGGAAAUCUGUCCUUAAAAGCAGAAAUGCUGGGCGUAUAAUUGAUUCUGAAGUUAAAAAGUUCAUAUUUCAUACAUUAUUGUGAAGUGAAACCGAAAGGCCAUGUUUUUGACAUACUAAAUAUCAUACUAAUAUGAUCUGGCCUUUACAAACAUAUUUACAUACAUCUUAUUUCAUACAUGGAAGAAGCCAUCUUUACUUAUACAUUUUGUUAAAGAGUUACUAAAUUGUAUUCUGUGUCAAGUAUUAAGUAAGUCAUGAUGGCAAUGGCAGAAACUAGCAGUACCUCUGUCCUUACCUUAUAUUGAUGAUCGAUUGUAUACAGUUCAAGAGUAAUGUGUCUUCUAAAAUAAUCUUAAUGAAACGGGUUAUGGCUCAUUUUCUUGCAUUGUUUUUCAUUAAAUGAAAUUUAUUUAACAGUACUGAUGUUUCUAAUAGAUCAGUGGGUGUACUGUAACUAAUUAAUGUGUCUAAUAACUAAUGCAGUUUAAUAACUGCUUUUGUUCAUUUCAGGUGCUGAAACUUGAGGCUAUCGGAUACAAGCCAAUUUUAUUUAUUGGGAAACAGGACAAAAGUGCUUCAAAUAAGUGGGUGGCAGAUAUUAUCACGCAUCUGCACCCCACUCCUGUCACCAAAGUGUUUUUGGAGAAGAUGCGGAGGGCUUAUGAGUUUAUCUUAACAAAAGCAACCUCCACAGCCCAGCAGCCGGAGAGCGUCCCCGCGUCACCAAGCAACCUGAAACUGUAUUUGUUCUCAAUCUUGUUCCUGUGCCUUGCUCGCUCUCUCCAACCUCUCUCUGUCCUCCUUCCUCUGCUACUUCUACAACUGUUCUUCCCUCACUUUCUUCCCCUCUUCCACCUCCACUGUGGCAGAGGAAAAGAAGGUUAAACACCUUUACCACGUCAAACUCUACCACCCCUGUCUCUCCUCCAUAUCCAUCUGCCUCUUCCAUUUCCAAGCCUUUGAGUCAGGAGGUGCCACUGGUAAAGAACAGAAGAAAAGGUUGUCAAAAAUGUAGUAGGCAGAAGGUUUUCCUUUUUGAUAAAAUAACUGGGGAACGAAUAAAUGAGGGGAAAGCUGAAUUGAAAGUUCACUGGUUGCCUUGCACUGUGUGUGGCAAAACCUGGGAUGACACAUGGGAGCCUGCGAGUGAAUUCCAACACAUUGUGCCAAAGUCCCCACAUCCCAACCAGCUUUCAGCAUGACAACAUGGUCACCAUAAACACCUGGACUCAUCAAGCACCCUUCAAUGCAGUUCAUUUUUGAGUGUUUUUUCUUGCUGUUUGUUCUUCAGUAAAGUUUUUGUACAGUA